UACAGAGGUCUCAAGCGUUGUUCGGAUUCAUUGGGCGUAAAGGGUGCGUAGGCGGCGCGGUAAGUCGGGUGUGAAAUCUCGGAGCUUAACUCCGAAACUGCAUUCGAUACUGCCGUGCUUGAGGACUGGAGAAGAGACUGGAAUUUACGGUGUAGCGGUGAAAUGCGUAGAUAUCGUAAGGAAGACCAGUGGCGAAGGCGGGUCUCUGGGCAGUAACUGACGCUGAGGAGCGAAAGCGUGGGGAGCGAACAGG
rnacentral:rRNA from 1 species